GGAACAAACAAGUGUAGACCUAUAAAGCUGGUGAACGCUUGAGGUUACACAACAACCAACGCGUCUGAUGUAGAUUGUCUUUAUAACUAUAUAAGACAUCGGAGACGUUCGCAUUUCGUGCAAAUCUACCUUUCGACCUCUCUCGCACAUUUCUUGAAUUUUUUACGUUCACUGAAAUCACCACUGUUGCGCAUAUAACUAACCAUCCUAAGAGAAGAUACACUGGUUCUCUAUCUACAAUUGCUUAAUUAAAGUUAACCGUUUCAUCAUUGUUGCAAGAUAAGAAAGAAUAAUCCCAGUACUAUAAUCUAUUCAUUGGUGGAAAUGGCGAACGAAUGAAUACUUUUGAUGUAGAAGUGGGAAAGUUAGACAAUUUGAAAAUCCACUUAGUGAUUGUUUUUAUGUCAUGUACAAACCUGAUCGAAGAAGAUUACACCUUUGACCAAUACGAUAACGCCGAGUAUUACACGAAGUCGAGAAAAGUUGAUAGCGCUGGAUAUGUCAAGAGAGAGUUGUGUGAUGUUACUUACAGAGUAUCCAAGUUUAUGAACAUUCAUCUCUAUGUUAAACAUAACAUUCAUCUUUGGGUACAGGAGACCAAUUUCAAUCAUUUAUUAAAACAAAUUACCUGCGAGAUUCUAAAAUUCGUUCACAUUCAUUCAAACAAAAUCCCACAUUUUUCCUAUCAAAUUAAUAAUAUUCAAUCAAGUUUUUUGAUUAUAAGUGAAAAAUUCAAAUGUUUAAGGGAUAUCACAAAAAUUGAGGGACAAAUUAAACAAUUCUUUUCCCCAUGUCCAACUCUAAAAAUAUAUGAACAUCACCAAACUGGACCUGUUAUUUUCAUCGAAGACCCAUUAAACUAUAAAACAAACCUUCUGAAUAAGGGACAAUUCUGGGGGUUAAAAUUUAAACAAGGUCAUAUUAGGAUUUUUAAAGACAAGGGAGUCCUUGUCACAAAAUCAAUCAAAGACUUAGAAAAUAUUGAACAAAAAUUUAUAAAUUUCGUAGAUUACUGUAAUUUUAGUACUGAGUUAAAAUGGCUUUGAUUCAGAAAAUAAUUAACACCCUUUACAAGGAAAAUCACAUAAAUAAUGAAAUGAA